AAUAUUGGACAAUGGGGGCAACCCUGAUCCAGCCAUGCCGCGUGUGUGAAGACGCUCUCCGGAUUGAAAAGCGCUUUAAGUUGGGAGGAAGGGCUUUAGGUUAAUACCCUGAACUUUUGAUGUUACCAACAUACUAUGCACCGGCUACCGCUGUGCCAGCAGCCGCGGUAAUACACCGGGUGCAAGCGUUCAUCGGAAUUACUGCGCGUAAAGCGAGCGUAGGUGGUUCAGUAAGAUGGGUGUGAAAUCCCCGGGCUUAAACUGGGAACUGCUUUCAUAACUGCUGAGCUAGAAUACGGUAGAGGGUAGUGGAAUUUCCUGUGUAGCGGUGAAAUGCGUAGAUAUAGGAAGGAAAACCAGUGGCGAAGGCGACUACCUGGACUGAUACUGACACUGAGGUGCGAAAGCGUGGGGAGCAAACA
rnacentral:rRNA from 1 species